CCCCUCCGCCGUAGCCCGCAAAGCCGAUCCUGGCCUCCUGCAGAGACGCCUCAGCGCCCUCCUGCAGACCUGACGGCCCCCUCCCCGGGCACCCCGGCCCUGGCCGGGUCUCGCGGGUACCCCCUCCUCCCCGGGAGCCGCCGGCGGAGCGCCGGUGGAGGAAGCGAGGAGACCCAGGAGGAUGCCGCCGCCGCCGCCGCUGCAGGGCCCGGGGCUGCUGCAGGGCCCGGGGCUCCUGCGGGGCGCGAGGCCUCCCUAACCAGGGAAACCCGCCCAGGCCAGGAGGAGCGGCUAGAGCUGUGGAGAGUCAAAGAGAGGAGAUGCGCUCAGAGAUUACCCCCUCCUUCUCCACUCCCCACCACCAGGCUGGGCCCUCCAGCUUCGGGGGAUCCUGGCCCUCCCUCUGCCACUACCCUCUUCUCCUCGGGUGAGAAAAACCCCGAUGGUAUCGAGAUUAAAGAGAAAAAAAAAAGGGGGGGGGUAGGUAGGGGUGUAGCGGAAAGAGGGAGGAGGAAGGGAGAAGGCAGGGGAUUUCUGUGUUCGAGUGUAACAGGGCACAGGCCGGCGGGUGGCUGUGGGGGCAGCCCCGGGGUUGGGUAGGAGAGAAAGACCCCCCCUGGAGAACGAUUAGAAAGGCCUUGACGUCACCCCGAGGAAGGGCGCACCUCCCAGCUGCCCCUCCUUCCUGGCCCCGGUGGUCUGGGGGACAGGUGGGAGACCCAAGAGAGGACCAAGGGGCUCCACAAGGUCGCAUGGUCCCUCCCGAGCCAUUAGCCGUUUAUCCGGCUCCCAGCAGUACCACUGGCCCUUAGGUGGAAGCUGGCUGUGUCUAGACUCAGGCUCUCCUUCCCUGGGGGGUCCUCAGGCUACUUGGCUGAAGCAUCCCGCACUCCCCAGGAAGGGAGCACCACGGGGGCCAGGAAAGCGGCAGCAGUGCGGGAUUCACCCGUGUGAACUCCAGGCCCCAGCAUUUUUCGGAGGAGAAGGGGUGCACUUGGGACACCUGCUCUGUUCCCCGCAGCACCCUGGCCCUCCCGGCUUGUUGCCCCCAGGCGGCCCCAGCUCGGGGAGCCUCAGGCUCUCACCUUAGCCGACUCUCGGGCCACUAAAAUUUGGCAUUCCAGGAGGAGGGCUUACUCUUGGAGCUAUUGUGCUGUUUCGGUUCUCUGGAUUAGCCAGGAGACCGGGGUGUGCUUGUUCCUGGAUCACGGACGGUGGGCUUCCAGGAAAGGAGGCAAGUGGGGGUUCGUAACAGGGAGAGGGAACAUGGGGAAAGAUCAUUUCCUUCAGAUCAGGAGACAGGAGAGGCCAGCUUCUAAAAGCACGAAUUGUUCACAUCUUCCUUCGGACACGCUGGAGACCCCACUGUAAAAUCUGUGAACUCAGGGCUCUUAGGAGAGGGCUUCCCGCAGACGCCCUCCGCCUUCUCUUCCCUCCGGAGCUGCACCCACCCGCCCGCCUCUCCCCGCCAGGCCCCUGGCUCGCGCUUGGCUCUCCGCCGUCUGCCACCUCGCGGACCUCAAGCAAUUUGUUAUAUAAAACAAAACAGCAACCACACACAUGAGCCUGCAGACCCACAGCGACGGACACCCAGGGAGACCUCUGCUCUGGCACCCUGGGCAACGCAUCUCUUUCUCGCCCUUCCAGCGGCCGCACCCCGCCACCACCUCUAGUCCCCGCUGCCCAGCGGCCACAAGCAAAGCGGGGUUCGGCCUCCAGCAACGAGGCUUCCCUGGCCGGAUCGCUGCGGCUGUUAAACCUCCCUCCGGUUACCCCAGCCAUUAAGAAAAAGGUGAUCGAGAAAUAUUUGGUCCACACACAAAGACAUCCAGCGAAACGAAGGCACAUUUCUGUGUGAAAUGGCACAGGAGCGGAGGAGACAACGCGUCAGCGCAGCCCAGAAAUGAUAAGAAUAACCGGGUGCCAGAGAACAGUGGGCUUUUGGAUUCUGCCCCCGCGCACCUUAUCAGGAUCCCUAAUUCCCUGCCACCUCCCGGGGUUCCCAGACACAAACCGCCUCGAAUUCCCAAAGAGGGGGCUCUCAGCCACCCGCCUCCCACAUACCUGCCCCUUCCUUAGGCUCUCUCUGUGUGGCCCUGAGCUGCUGGGCGGCCCAACACAGAGGCUCCACCAAUGAGUGCCCAGGGGCGCCCACUCCCAUCCACUCACUGCACCCCCGACUUACCCCCACCUCAUAUAUCAGCUGAAAAAAAAAAAAAAAGCCAGGGUGGAAAUAUCAAUAAAGGAAAAUGCAGCUUCC